rnacentral:misc_RNA from 1 species
AAUAAAAAAAAAAUUAAGGGAAUUUUAGUAGAAUAAUUAAAGCCCCUUGUCCAUAUCAUAAUAUUUAAUUGUAUUUUUUAAUGUUUACAAUAGUUCCUUCAAGUCCUCACAACUGUAUGUUUUUCUGUAAGACUAAUGACAUAUUUUCAAUCCUUAAAAAGUAUUAAAUAUUAGUGUGAGUAUUUUUCUUGUUUAUAAUUG